AUUGAGCGCUGGCGGCAUGCUUUACACAUGCAAGUCGAACGGUAACAGGCCGCAAGGUGCUGACGAGUGGCGAACGGGUGAGUAAUGCAUCGGAACGUGCCCAGUCGUGGGGGAUAACUACUCGAAAGAGUAGCUAAUACCGCAUACGAUCUAUGGAUGAAAGCGGGGGACCGUAAGGCCUCGCGCGAUUGGAGCGGCCGAUGUCAGAUUAGGUAGUUGGUGGGGUAAAGGCUCACCAAGCCAACGAUCUGUAGCUGGUCUGAGAGGACGACCAGCCACACUGGGACUGAGACACGGCCCAGACUCCUACGGGAGGCAGCAGUGGGGAAUUUUGGACAAUGGGCGCAGGCCUGAUCCAGCAAUGCCGCGUGCAGGAAGAAGGCCUUCGGGUUGUAAACUGCUUUUGUACGGAACGAAACGGCUCUGGUUAAUACCCGGGGCUAAUGACGGUACCGUAAGAAUAAGCACCGGCUAACUACGUG
rnacentral:rRNA from 1 species